AUGCCCAAGGGUACAGACAGCCUAUGGGAGCCAGCAAGAUCACUGACCUCAGAACCUGACAUCACAGGCAAUGAGAUGAGAUGAAAGGGGGAGCUGCCUCCUGCUCUCACCAAGGAGACCAGCAUCCUGAGUAGAAGGAUGUGUGACACUGCCCUCCCUGACUCUGCCUGGGGCCCCACCCUGCUCUGCUGUGUUACUGUCUUUCUCCUGGGAACAAAACACAUGGAGGCUGCAGUCACCCAAAGCCCAAGAGGCAAGAUGACAGUAACAGGAGGAAAGGUGACACUGAGCUGUCACCAGACUUACAACCACAACAGAAUGUACUGGUAUCGGCAGGACCUGGGUCAUGGACUGAGGCUGAUCCAUUACUCAUAUGGUGCUGGUAGCACUGAGAAAGGAGAUGUCCCUGAUGGGUACAAGGCCACCAGACCAAGUCAAGAGAACUUCUCUCUCGUUCUGGAGAUGGCUUCUCCCUCUCAGACAGCUGUGUACUUCUGUGCCAGCAGUGAUGCACAGCAAUGUGUGGCUGUCUCCUCUCUGCACAUAAAGUAAAUUAGGAAGACAAGUUUCCUGUGUGCCCCAGGAAGUC